GCACAGUAUAUACGUAUACAUAUGAGAUGAAUAAUGUAGGGUAUGUAAACAUUAUAUUAGGUAGCAUUGUUUGAAGCGGCUAGUGAUAUAUUUUACAUCAUUUCCCAUCAAUUCCCAUUAUUAAACUGGCUGGAGUUGAGUCAGUGUGUUGGCAGCAGUGUUAUUGGUCUGUUAGCUUGCCCGUUCUCCUACCACCUCAUCAACGAGCUGUUUUCACCCACAGGACUUCCGCUGACUGGAUGUGUGUUUGUCGCUCCGUUCUCGGUAAACCCAGGACACUGUCGUGUGUGAAAAGCCCAGGAGGCCAUCCGUUUACUGAGAUACUAGAUCCGGCGCGCCUGGCACCGACGAUCAUAACACGCUCAAUGUUGCUUAGGUCUCUAGUUUUGCCCAUUCUAAGUUCAAUCGAAUAUUAACUGAAUUCCUCGAAGCCUGUCUGCCUGCUUUAUAUAACAAGCCACAUGACUCACUGUCUGUAGGACCGAACCAUUUUCUUCAAAGUGUUGGUGUACCUAAAAAAAUGGCUGGUAUGUCCAUUCAGAAAGGCUACUUCAGGAAACUGUCUGGACUCCAUCUCUUUAAUAAGAAUGAAACGCUCCUGUCAUUAUGUAAUCUUGUAAAAGGCGUGUUUUCAGUAGCUUAGGCUACAUUACUUCUCUCAAUACGGCGUUCUCUCUUUGACGGACAUAUGCCAAUGCCAUCGAAUGGCCGCAGCAGCUGUGUUUGUGACGAAUAUUUAGGGAAAAGUAAAAAAAACAAACAUCAUACUUAGUUUGAAUGGUUUUGUGCAUCAAGAUAGGUUCUGUAUAAAAAAAUGAUGUACAUACAGAAAAGCCAACAGACAAGAACAGGGUUUUUACUAAGAAGCAUAUCCUUGUAAUAAACAAGUGAACAAACAGAAUUUCUGACAGAAGACGAAUGUCUGUGCUGCAACGAAUUAGAUCGCGGACAGUUCUUACUGGAGAGGGUCACUGCAGACCCAAUGGAUCGUGUGUCUGUGACGAGACCAUCGAAGUUUCGUUUCACGUAUGGAUAGAGCUGUGCUGGAGAUGUUCUUCAGAACCUCCAAGAUCAUCUGGUGGCGGCAGCCUAGACCAGCUGGACCAGAAGGGCAAAUGACAAACGAGAUCAAAGCUGGAGAAAUGUUUUGAUGAUGACGAAGAGUAAAGGAAUUCAUUUGGAUGGAGAGUAAAGGAAUGAUGCAUAUUAGUUUUUGAGUAACUAUACCUGUGUGUUGUAGCUAGCUAGCUAAUGUGUGGUUGUGAGAUGUGUUAUGUUCUGCAUCGUGUUGCUACAGUAGGAAUACAGACAGAACACAACGAUUGCCCAUGAAAGGCAUUUUUUUUGUCAUUUAUCUUAGACAAUACAGUUUGGUGGCCUACUGAUUAUUUUUGGAGUGCUAUGUGGUGAGAAGCUAGGCACAGAACACUGAAUAUCUUUGCCUGUGUGUGUUGUUGGGGCCAUUAAAGCAAUUAAUCCCUCACACGAUGGACAGUAUGUUGGAUACAAAUAAAUUGAUGUCUUUAGACGAGAUGUGGAAAGUACAUAACAACAAUCUCCCCGUGUUUCAAAGUGACUCCAAACACCUCAUUGCACCCACCAAAGACACCAUAUGCAAAUAUUCCCGUUUUAAAACGGUAGUAUUUAUUGUAUUUUUAUUCUACGGUAUAUACACUGAGUGUACAAAACUCAGUAUUAGGAAGGUGUUCUUAAAAGUUUUGUACACUCGGUGUAUGUCAUACAACUGUCCCUGCAUACUGCUGUGUAAACUCACCUCGGGUCUCCAGAACAAAUAAACUUUGUUUUGAAUACA